AACGAACGCUAGCGGCGCGCUUAACACAUGCAAGUCGAGCGAGAAAGGGGCAACCUGAGUAAAGCGGCGCACGGGUGAGUAACACGUGGGUAACGUACCUUCGAGUGGGGAAUAACGAGCCGAAAGGUUCGCUAAUACCGCACGAGACCACGGCUUCUGCGGAAGCUGAGGCAAAAGGGGGCUGUCGCGAGGCAGUUCUCGCCUGAAGAUCGGCUCGCGUACCAUUAGCUAGAUGGCGGGAUAAAGGCCCACCAUGGCUACGAUGGUUAGCUGGUCUGAGAGGACGACCAGCCACACUGGAACUGAAACACGGUCCAGACGCCUACGGGAGGCAGCAGUGGGGAAUAUUGCGCAAUGGGCGAAAGCCUGACGCAGCGACGCCGCGUGAGUGAAGAAGGCCUUCGGGUUGUAAAGCUCUGUCAGAGGGAACGAAUCCUGCGGAUGACCUCCGCAGCUGACGGUACCCUCGAAGGAAGCACUGGCUAACUCUGUGCCAGCCGCCGCGGUAAGAC
rnacentral:rRNA from 1 species